ACAAACGUUCCAAAACCGAUUGAAAUGUGACAUAAAUAAAGCCUGCGCUCCACCUGGCGGGAGCGAAAUAAUGAGAUUUUAUGUUAACAUAAAACGCGCAGAAUUCCUCCCCUGGAGUGUUAUGGGCGUUUAUUUACCAAUUUCUCUAGUGAUUUAUGUAUUCUCCAGGAGUUAUACCAUGGCCGUUGGUAUUAUUUUCCUCUGCUACCUGGAAAACUGCAAAUCCGUCGAGAAAACCUAGAACAUGAGUAGAAAAAUAGUAAAACUAUUGAAUUUCUAAUGAAUAAAUUAUUGUAGCAUUGAGUUAAUAAAAAAUAAUGCAAAACGAUAAAAUAUUGUCCAGAAAUGUUCAUUUGUCCACUCUAAACAAUUACAAAUGCCCUCAGUCUCCUGAUGAGAAAUAUAUUGAGAGCUUUAAUUCUCAAUAAAAUCGUCGUCUGGUUGCUCUUUGCGGGGAAAAUCCUCGUCAUCUGCACGAUCCGC